CAAAAUCUCAAAAUUGACCAGUGCAUGAAAAAAAUAAAAAAUAAAAUAAACAAUGCCUACUGUGUUUUGUCUUAAACAUUAAGGCCAUUUGUUUGACAUUUGAGUGGACAUUUGUAUUGUAAAUGUUGAACCCAGAACAUUCCUUUAAUGUUCUAUUCACACACACACACACACACACACACACAGAGUUUGUUUGGCAGGAUUCAUGUGUGUGUGUGAGUCCGGGAACGGAUCCAUGUAUAUAACUCAUCCUACAGCAGCAGGAACCAUUGUGCUCGACUGCGGGUGCCGAGGGAACUCUGAGUCUGUGACACCUGUUACCAACAGCCGGGCCGGCCGCGCCAACGCGGUGGCCAGAGUUUGCGCCGGCUGGAGAGAACAGCAGAAACAAGCUGUGAAUGAGUCUGGAGAGAGCAGCCGAUGCUGAGCCGCCAUGCUUCGCUCCACGGGCCGCCGCUUUCCAGGUUAUGAGCAUGUGCGUAUCUGGCGCCCCACCAAACCCAAGCGCUGCUCGCUGGCAGAGUGUGUGUGUGCCGCGCUAUUCUAGAGAUUCAGAGCUGAACGACUGCCGAAGACGAUCGCCAGAUCUACUUGUGUGCUGUGAGACGGAGCUACUGAGUUCUUUAAUCCAGUGAAUCUCAACCAGUGGGUCUGAUGGGUCACAGACGGCAGAUCCUGUGCAGAUUGUCUCUCGGAGUCUCUCUACAGCCCAAACCGCCCAAAACAUCCCGGUGUCGGUCCAAACAUCAUUUUUCAUCUGAGCGUUUGACGCGACGGAGCGCUGCCGUUUGUGUGUGUAAUGUAUCAGUGUGUGAUUUCUGACAGAGGAAGUGUGUGUUGUGCCAUCGAUCUGCUCUCAGACAGCUCUUUCUGCUCCGCUGACAGACAGUGAUGGAGGGCGGCGAGCGGGCGGCACUGACUCCAGACCAGUGACACUGUCCCACGCUCACAGAGUCUAUUGAUCUGCUCUGGAUGGACGGCUGGAGACAAACACGCGGCUUACAGCCGGUUUAGAGCUGGUUCUACGCCGCUAAACUGAACAAAUCUAGAAUGAACUCAAGCACAGCUCAAAACUUCACAACUGACUGAAUCUAAUUCCCUUUAUAUCUUCCUUUCGAUGUUUUAGUGUUGUAUCUGAAGUCUGUUUAAAAGCUUACAAAGCCCUGUACACCCUUAUGAGACAGAGAUUUACACCGACAUGUCUUAAAGUCGACAUUUCCUUCCUCCUCUUGUGUUCCUGUGUGUUUAUGGCCAGAAUGCAUGUGUGUUAGAAACAAAAUUUAGUUUGUUUUACUCAAAUUUAGUUAGUAUUUAGUUUAUUUAAUAAAUAGUAUUCAUUAUUUUAAAUUGGUUUUUAU
ensembl:lncRNA